AUUGAACGCUGGCGGCAGGCCUAACACAUGCAAGUCGAACGACCGGCGCACGGGUGAGUAACACGUAUACAACCUGCCCUUUACUCGGGGAUAGCCUUUCGAAAGAAAGAUUAAUAUCCGAUAUAAAGGAUGGGGAUGCGUUCCAUUAGGUUGUUGGUGAGGUAACGGCCCACAAAGCCUUCGAUGGAUAGGGGUUCUGAGAGGAAGGUCCCCCACAUUGGAACUGAGAAACGGUCCAAGCUCCUACGUGAGGCAGCAGUGAGAAAUAUUGAUCAAUGGGCGUUAGCCUGAACCAGCCAAGUAGCGUGAAGGAUGAAGGAUUAUGGGUCGUAAACUUCUUUUAUAUAAGAAUAUGUAUUAUAUGAAUAAAGAUCGGCUAACUCCGUGCCAGCAGCCGCGGUAAUAC
rnacentral:rRNA from 1 species